rnacentral:misc_RNA from 1 species
UAGACGUCAAUGCCUAUAUGAAACUAUCGGGUCGAUCAUAUCGCUUUGAGUUAUAUAGAUUUUGUAGUCCCUCUUUUGAUCGUUUUAAACGCUUUAUCCUGAUUUAGGGGCCGUAGCUCAACUGGGAGAGCACCUGCUUUGCAG